UCAGAUGGUAAAAACAAGUAAGAGUUCCAGAUGGGGCAACUGGAAGAGAAGCAUGAUGAAGAUGGUAAUGGGAAAGCUUCAGAUUCUCACUUGACUGGGACGUCCAUGCCCUCACCUGUGACUUCCAAACCCACUCUCUGUGCAAGCCCUCAUGCAAAGCAGCGUCCUAUGAAGUCCUUCAUUACAGGGGACUGAUGACUGAAAUAAUGAGAAGGAACAAGUGGUGCUCACAGACCUGCUGGUCUGCAGAUGGGACUUCACCACACUGAGCUGCUUCCCAGUGCAGCAAAUCUCACUGACCACCGUUGACUGUGCUGGACACUUCACCAUCCCAGAGAAAUCCAGAGAAGUGAGUACUGGGGGUGGAUGGAGGCAAUGUGAGAGACCAGGUCCCUUGGUUGAGCACACAUCUGUUAGGGCUUUGUCUUUGCCUCCAUCUUUCUCUACUUCUGGACCCUACAUGAAUUAAUCCAACAGCUGCAGCAACAGGAUUUCCUGUGCCUCUCUGCAGGAGGGCUGUAGAAGUGGAACAGAAUAGGCAGCCCCAGGGACCUGAGCCGAGAGGACCAACACUGGUACUUCAGCUACUGCAGGUGGGCCAGGUAAUCACCAGGAGGUGGCAUCCAUCCCCUGGAGACACCAUGGCCCAUGCUGGGUAUGGUGCCAGUCCUGUCUGGGAGCCUUGGGUGUUUCUUUAGAGGAUGCUAGCUCUCCAAAGGGGCUCUGCAGUGGGGUAUUUGGGGCCAGCAAGGUCCCACCCUGGAGGUGGGAAGACCCACCACCUCGCAGUACUGCCAGCAUGUUUCUGUUCUGAGUCAUUCCCUUGCCUGUUUAUUUUUGGUAUUUAUUUAUUUACCACCGAGGUGUUGGCCCAGAGGAGCCUGGCUGUGCUGAACUCCUCCAGUGGCCUGGUGGCCGCUGCCAGCUCUGUCAAUGUCCAGCAGUGUUGGGAGUGUUCCCACCCUAAGUUGAAGGGGAGAGAAGUUGGGUUCCUGUGAAAGCAAUGCCACCUAUCAAAAGUGUGUUUGUCUCCAAGUAAUGAGUGCAGUAGCACAGGGUAAACAACUUUCGCUACAGGGUAAACUACUACCACAGAGCCCCCAGCUCCCAGCUCUCUCCCUGAGCUGGCUGGGGGGUGGAAGGAGGUUAAGAGGCAUAUCCUUUGCUGUAAUUAUAUCCUGUUGCUAGAGAUAUUGUGCUCUGCUUAAAGAAAUCAUCAUAAUACAGCCUCCCGGAGAAGGUAAUUACUAUGCAUCUUAUGAAUGGCUGCAUGCGAAUGUCUGCUCAAACUGCUGUCAGCAGCAAGUUUCAACACAUCUUACAUACCAGGCAUUUUACAGCCUUAGUUUUAUUUGUUUUCAUCACCCCUCGCCUUGUGCUUUAUUCUUCAUUAAUGGAUCUGGGUUUUUGUUUGUGUUGGUUUUCUUUUCUCUCUCUCUCUCUCUCUUUUUUUUUUUUUUUUUUUUUUAAGAGGCCAGAGUUCAUGUCUUUGAUGGAGCAUUUGGGUGGUGGCCACAGCUUUUAUUUGCUGCAUUUCUAUUGCUCUGUGGUGGCUUGAGGGGAACUGUCUGGAAGAUGCCAUUUCCGAGCAGUUGCCAUAUGGUAGCAUCUGAGUGGGGCCCUAGUUUCCUAGUCUGAGCCCAGAAAAAGACCAUACCGCUGUCAACAAAACUUGGUGUCACUCUACCUCUAGCAAAACUGCACAGAUUUUAGCCCAUGAGACAACUUAUUUUUCCUGUUCUACUUUCGCAGUUUCUCUCUCGUAUUGAAAAAGAGAUGGCAACUAUCCCAUCUGCUCCCAAACAGGAACGUCAGACCUCUGAGCUUUCUGAAGCUCCUCCGAAGCAAAUCUCUUUCCUGCCACUGGCACAAAUGACCUCCCUGCCUUGGUUAACAGUCAGCCUAAGUGUCACUGCAGUGUGGCUAAAGUUUUGGAGAAUCAUAGCCUGGUAAUGCUGCACAUGGAGAUUGCCAUAUAACUGGCUUCAGAGCCAUAUCCUUUGGCUUUGCAGGGACAUUUCAGUUAAAGAGAUGGGGGAAUGCCAACAGAGCCCUGGUUUGUCACAGCAGGAGUGAUCCAGCUACUCUUCCUUUCUCAAAGGUCAGUCAUGUUUGCCUUUCCCCAGCAGUAUGUGUGGCAAUCUGGCCUCAUGUUGCGCAUGUAGGGCCACAGUGUGUGAUCGUGACACCCUGCAUGGCUGUAAGAACAUCAUGUCCAUCUCCUGGCCAGCUCAAGGGAGGAUUUGAAACUGCUGCUUGGAUUGCUUCCUUGUGCAAAUGGAUGGGGCUUGCUCUUGCAAUGCUGAAGCUGAAUUGUUUUAGUCCCCUCAGUGAUUUGUUGUGUUUGUGGCCAGGCUUCUGCGUGUGGUGAGCAUCGGCUGUGUUGCAUCCAGAGGUGGCUCCAUCCCGGCGCUGUGCAGAGUGCUGUGUCCGUCUCUCUCUGUGAUUCCUGGUGAAGCCUGAAAGGCAGCCUGGCUCCUGGAGGAUGGAAGGUGCUGUAAUAAAUAUUUUUUGGAGCCUCAUAAGUCUGAUAUCACUCCAGUUUCCAUAUGGAGAAUCUGAGGCGUAGUGGGUUGCAGCAGAUUGUCUCAAGCAAGUCUAACU